rnacentral:misc_RNA from 1 species
UCUCCGUAGGUGAACCUGCGGAGGGAUCAUUACAGAGUUCUCGCCCUCGCGGGUAGAUCUCCCACCCACUGUUAUCGUUACUGUGUUGCUUUGGCGGGCCGCCGGGCCCCGCUCGGCCGCCGGCUCCGGCUGGCGCGCGCCCGCCAGAGGCCCAGCAAACUCUGAAUGUUAGUGUCGUCUGAGAACUAUAUAAUAGUUAAAACUUUCAACAACGGAUCUCUUGGUUCUG